CUGGCCUUGGAAAGAAGGCAGGC
rnacentral:piRNA from 1 species